rnacentral:rRNA from 1 species
UGGGGAAUAUUGCGCAAUGGGCGAAAGCCUGACGCAGCGACGCCGCGUGGAGGAUGACGCCCUUCGGGGUGUAAACUCCUGUUGCCCGGGACGAAUGGCGGACAUCGGUCCGCUUGACGGUACCGGGUGAGGAAGCACCGGCUAACUCUGUGCCAGCAGCCGCGGUAAUACAGAGGGUGCGAGCGUUGUCCGGAAUCACUGGGCGUAAAGGGCGCGUAGGGUGGGCGCGGUGCGCGUGCCGUGAAAGCCCGGGGCUCAACCCCGGGUCGGCGGUGCGAACGGCCGGGCUGGAGCGUACGAGAGGCAGGCGGAAUUCCGGGUGUAGCGGUGGAAUGCGUAGAGAUCCGGAAGAACACCGGUGGCGAAGGCGGCCUGCUGGCGUACGGCUGACACUGAGGCGCGACAGCGUGGGGAGCAAACAGGAUUAGAUACCCUGGUAGUCCACGCCGUAAACGAUGGGCACUAGGUGCGUGGGGGAGCGACCCCCUGCGUGCCGGCGCUAACGCAUUAAGUGCCCCGCCUGGGGA